rnacentral:lncRNA from 1 species
CUUGAGCAUAGUAGACAAGCACUCUACCACUGAACUACGUUCCCAGUUCCCAUAAUUUUUUUUUAUAGAUAUAGACAAACUGAUUCUGAAAUUUAUAUAAAAAGGUAAAAUAACUAGAAUAGCCAAACCAAUUUCAAAAAAGUUGGAGGAAUUGCACCACCUGAUUUUAAGACUAAAACUAUAGUAAUCGUCAGUGUGGUAUAGAUAAAGGGCUAGUCACAUGGAUCAAUGGAGCAGAAUAAAGAGAUCCAUACAAAUAUGGUUUUUUAAUUUUUAGAAAAGUAUAAAGACCAUUUAAUGAGAAACGAUAGUCUUUUCAACAAAUAGUGCUGAGAUUGGACAUCCAUAGACAGACAAAUGAACCUCAACAUAAAUCUCAGAUCUUAUAUAAAAGCUAGUUAUGUAAAACAUAAACUAUUAGAGGAGUAUCCCAGGAAGAUGGUAGAGUAUAACCUACUUUUAGGGUAGACUUCGAGGUGGAUGGAUACAAAACACCAGAAAUCUAUCUCCCUUCCCAGGUAACAAUUGCACUGGCAGAUUCUCUCAGUGUUCUGGAACUCUGGAGCCAAUUGAAGUCUUGAAACUUCCAGAAAAAGGGUUGGACAUAAAUUGUGGUUAAUUUUGGUCCAUUUCAGCUCUUAGCACAGUAGUAGCCACAGUCCUCCAACCCUAGUCCCAUGGCCGGCAGCUGUGCCCAGUUUCUGGAGCAGCCUGAACACAGCUUGUGGGAGCCAGAGUGGGAAAAAAUGAUCCUGUUCUCCAAAUAUCAUGGAUCUGUGCUUUGAUUACUCAUUCUAAUCACAGGGGUGCAGAUGAUAGUCAUUGUGGUACCUCCCCCAUUGUUGUAAACACUUCCCUCUCCAUAACUCUUUCUUGCCCCCACUUUUUUUCUUCCCAUGUCUUGUUAGGAGCCAGUCAUCGUAAGGACUAGGACAUAAGAAAACAAUUGCAUAUGCAAAGGAAAUUAGAAAGUGCCUGUACAUGCCCAGGGAAAGGCACAGGCCAACGAAAACAACAACAAAAAUCUCUCUCUCACACACACACACACACAGGAGAAAUGCAUGUAUAUAGACUUCAGGCUGAUCCUUGGCACACUGAGAGCCUACAAUAAAAAUCAUAACAAAAAACAUCCAUCCUUAGUGAAGGGGGGUGGCUCUAAUUUCCAGAGUUACCUAUUAUUAGGUUAAAAUGUAUAGUUUCCAUAAAGUAAUAAAAACAACCCAAAAUAAUACAAACAAACAGGAAAACAUGGUGCAUUAAAAAU